rnacentral:rRNA from 1 species
AGCAUCCUGUCACCAGGUAGCUGCCUUCUGUACCCCCCAUUGUAACACGUGUGUAGCCCCGGACGUAAGGGCCGUGCUGAUUUGACGUCAUCCCCACCUUCCUCACAUCUUACGACGGCAGUCUCUCUAGAGUCCUCAGCAUGACCUGUUAGUAACUAAAGAUAAGGGUUGCGCUCGUUAUGGCACUUAAGCCGACACCUCACGGCACGAGCUGACGACAACCAUGCAGCACCUUCACAUUUGCCUUGCGGCUAACCUGUUUCCAGAUUAUUCAAAUGCAAUUUAAGCCCGGGUAAGGUUCCUCGCGUAUCAUCGAAUUAAACCACAUGUUCCUCCGCUUGUGCGGGCCCCCGUCAAUUCCUUUGAGUUUCACCGUUGCCGGCGUACUCCCCAGGUGGAAUACUUAAUGCUUUCGCUUGGCCGCUUACUGUAUAUCGCAAACAGCGAGUAUUCAUCGUUUACUGUGUGGACUACCAGGGUAUCUAAUCCUGUUUGAUACCCACACUUUCGAGCAUCAGUGUCAGUUGCAGUCCAGUGAGCUGCCUUCGCAAUCGGAGUUCUUCGUGAUAUCUAAGCAUUUCACCGCUACACCACGAAUUCCGCCCACCUCUACUGUACUCAAGACAGCCAGUAUCAACUGCAAUUUUACGGUUGAGCCGCAAACUUUCACAACUGACUUAACUGUCCACCUACGCUCCCUUUAAACCCAAUAAAUCCGGAUAACGCUCGGAUCCUCCGUAUUACCGCGGCUGCUGGCACGGAGUUAGCCGAUCCUUAUUCAUAUGGUACAUACAAAAUUCCACACGUGGAAAACUUUAUUCCCAUAUAAAAGAAGUUUACAACCCAUAGGGCAGUCAUCCUUCACGCUACUUGGCUGGUUCAGGCCUGCGCCCAUUGACCAAUAUUCCUCACUGCUGCCUCCCGUAGGAGUUUGGACCGUGUCUCAGUUCCAAUGUGGGGGACCUUCCUCUCAGAACCCCUAUCCAUCGAAGGUUUGGUGAGCCGUUACCUCACCAACUGCCUAAUGGAACGCAUC